rnacentral:hammerhead_ribozyme from 1 species
AUCCAAGUGACGAUUCCCAAAUCGGAGGAAACUUGAGUCCUGGAU